CUUCAAAAACUCAAAACACCAAAGUUGUAUAUCUUGACAAGAUCUACAACUUUGCUUUUGAACUCAACUUCAAAUUUUGCUUAGUUUUUAAAUUACACAAAAGGGGCAAAUCUAAAGUUUUUGAAAUUAGGGUUUCCCCCCUUUAAGCUUCUCGGAAAACUUUUACCCAACGAUUUUAAACUCCAAAACAAGCACCCAUACAUAAAAUAAACACACUUAAAUUCCUAAACACAUUCAUCCAAAAUAAACUUAUUUUAGGUUAAUGCAUUAGUGUGUGCUUAACAUAUUUUUGAUGCAAUGCUCAUGAUGACAUGUCCCAUUUUUAGUUCGCUUAACACGAGAGUGUUACACUUUCUAAGGCCAGGACGUUCACAUAUCACAAAAGGCAGCUCAUCCUCUAUUAUCAUCUCAGCUAAAGACUUCCUAAUCUCAUCAGGAUCAAAUUUCCAAGUAGACAAAGUACCACUACUAUUACCAGCAGAUGGUUGUAGUUGUAAAGUACCUUGAUUAUCUACUACAGGUUUGUGAGGAUUCUUUUUGCAGAUUUUUAGAUGAGACUUCAUGGAGGACGUACCAUUUAACUUUGUGUCGCAGCGGAAUAAUUUGCUGCAGUACUUGCACUUGCCUCUCUCCUCCCCAUUAUCAAUUUUGAUCUUGCUGAAGUGCUCCCAAACAUCUGAUCUUGGAUUAAUGGCUUUUCUUUUCUUGCUUUCAGUUUCAUCUACCACUGAAUCUCCAUCCUUGGGAUCUUGUUCCUUAUCAUUAUUCUCCAGAUUGUCAUUAUUCUCCAGAUUUAUAACUUCAUGAUCACGGUCAUGGUCAUUCAGUCGAGGUGUAUCUGCAAUAGUUUCUUCAGUGUCCCCCAUCUACAAGAUUUAAAAAAACAGCAUCCCAUCAGGCCAUCAGAAACUAGUGAACUACUACUGCCAAGUUACCAAGUAAACCAGAGAUACUUGAUUCAGGAGUCGCCCAGUCGCCUGCGAGGAGAUCCUCCGGUCCUCCCGAGUCCCGACCUCCGCCACGCCACCGCCGCGACCCGCGAGGUCUAGGCGCGCGCCUGCGAGGAGAUCCAACGGAGUCGCCCAGUCGCCGCCAGUCGCGCGUGUUGGCCAGGGGAUGAGAGCAAAGAGGAGUCAGGAGUGGAUCAGAGGGAGUUGCCCAGUCACGCGAUUUGGCCGGGGGAUGAGAGGAGUGGAUCGGAGCGGAGGGAGUCGCGGCGGCUAGGGUUUCAGAGGGAGUUGCGCCGUCGUGUCGUGCGGUCUGCGGUGUCGAGGGUCGAGGCCGAGGGGAGGGGUCGAGGGGAUGAGAGAUGAGAGUGGGAGAGAGCUGAGCGCAGCGGUCGUGGCCUCGUGGGCCUGAUGACUGGGCCGAGACGCCGAGUGGUUGAGUGGAGUGGGGACGUCGGGACGAUUUCCAUUCCUGGUUCAACUUCGGUUCCUCGGAUGUUCGGCUCGGUUUGGUACUGAAACCGAAGCCGAAGCCGAACACCGAACUUCUCAGAAUUGGAAACCGACACCGAACCGAAAAAUCGAAAAAUCGACUAUUCGGCUCGGUUUCGGUUCGGUUCGGUUCGGUGUUCGGUUUUCGGUUGAAAAGUGCCCAGGCUGACUUCUAAUACAUGUGAGCACCGAGUAAAUUUGUAUAAUAUAGAAGAAUGUUUGGAAAACACGAUGUGCUAUGCCUAAACACCCGCUGAAAAUGGACAUCCUGAUUCGGAGCAACUUCAGCACUAGCUUUCGAUAUAGAUCCUUACUUUUGCUUGAGGACUUUACGUAUUUUUGAUGGUCUUGAUUUUUGGCUGCACUCCAGCAGUGGUUCUCAAAUGAGGGCCCUCAAAUUCAUUCUAGUAAAGAAUGACACAUGGGACCCACUUGUCAUCGUUUUUUCUUAUUUUCUUUCUCAUUGACUAAAUUGCCCUAUAGAAAAGCUAGAAAAGUAGAGAAGAAAGGCUCGCUGGAGAGGAACUGUUGGUGAUCUCGCCAAAUCCAGGAGGUGGGUGGUGGGUGGCAGACGACAUCAGGUGAAGGUGGUCCAUCGGGUAAGCCCGAAUCCAACCACCAUGGCCCCCGUGGCGCUCCCACAGAUGAGCUCGGCCAUAGGUAGACACCACAUGUGAUGGUCCUCGGCCCCAGCUGUUGUGAGCAAGGUGCGGGCAAGUAGUGUCACAUCGGCUAGAGGAGGAGGUUCGCCGAUGAUGGGAAAUUGGAGGACAAGGUCCAGCAGCGGAUCGUGCUCAAACAAGAGGGACCAAUGACCCCAAUAGAAAUAUGGGAACCUCCUCCAGGGCCCAUGGGAAUGGGGGCUUAGGAAGGAUUUGAGGGCUUUGUGAGGGUCGUAGAAGGGGAUUUGCUAGACCUCGUUUUUUGCCUCAAGUCCUCAAAUUUACUUGUGACGGCUCAAGUAGGGCUCUUAUAGAGUUGUCCUUACAAGCUAAAGAAAUAACCCCAAUGAGCUAAAGAGCACUAGUUUA